GACUUCGAGCUUGAGAAGAGAGAGGGAGGGGAGAGGAGAGGAGGGAGAAGGAAAUGACAGAGAGAGAGAGAGAGAGAGGGGGAGAGAGAGAGAGAGAGAGAGAGAGAGAACGCAGAGGGAGGGAGGCAGGGAGGGAGACCAAACCCCCGCUUUACUGCGUUGAAGCUUCUGAAUUUCAAGCAGAAAGUAGAAGGAGCUCCAAACGGCAGUGAGUGUCUUUCCUUGGGCUGCGUGUGGCGAGCGUAGACAAUGAAAAUCUCCAUCCUCCUCCCCCAUUCCCACUAGGCUACAAGAUUCUUGUUUUCGUUCCUUCUUACCGGUGGAAGCUGUGUAAAAUCAAAUAUGUAGAGGUGUGUAGUGAUUUUUUAAAAGCCAACUAACCCACCGCACGGGCUGCGACGCGGAUUACCCGAGCGCACGCCGGCUGGGCGCGUUCUGGGGUCUCUGCUCAAGACCACCUCUCAGCUCUCUCUCCCUUCCUCGGACUCUGGAGUGAGAGCGGGCCUUUCCCUCGGCCGACCACACAGUAGGGGACGCCGUGAAAAGAGCCGUCGCGCCCGCCGCCUCCUGCCCGCUGCGCAGAGGGCUCCGCCCGUAGAGGUCAACUUCCCUCACCCUUUCCUCUCUCCUGCUCGCCCUUCCUCCGCCCGGCCCAGGCGCUUCCAGCCACCGACUCCGGCCGCAGGCUGAGGAGUGCGAGUCCGCUGCGCUGCCCUGAACCGAAGCCCCUUCCAGGCCCAGACCCGAGGUCCGCGCUCCGGGGCAGUGGGAAUGCCUUAGUGAGCAGCCUUUUCUCUCCGCAGCAAACUCGUAGCCAGACCAGAUGGGCCGCCCAGCUCUCCUGGGACUAGGCAGGUGCGGUUGAGUUAAUUUUUCCGCAUUACAAAGAAAGAUGACCCAGUCCGCCCUUGGACUCUCUUUUCCCAAAAUAUCCCAUCCAAACCCGCGGUAACAUUAUUGGAGGACACAGAGACCAGGCAUAUCUGUGUGUUUAUCUUACAAGCAGACACACAUGUUUGUUUUCCCCUUUAUAUGCUAGAUUUCAUCCCCUACAGCAGAAAAUGAUUGGCGAUGGUUCUGACGGAGAACAGGCAACGGCGUGGUUCUUAAAAACCUGCCAUUCCUUACAAGUGCCUUAGAAGGGAUUCAGGGCGAACCAACUGGGUUAAUUGCAUUCAGUAAAAUAACACGAUUACAAAAUUAGAUCUGUACCAGAGGGGUAAUUAACUUGGAUCCACGCCGUCAUUUGAAAACUAGAUUUAUAGGCGUAUGUAUGUUUUUAGGCGUGUGCUGUAAAUGGCAUGGAGAUAUAUGCAUAUGUAUACGCAGACACACGCAUCGUCUACACUUCCACGGAACAGACUAAUUAACAGCGGCUCUGGCAGAUGUGGCAGAGAUGAGCGGAGACAGGAGCUGGGCUUAUGAGUUAUGACUCUGGGGGUAGACACUCAGAGCGGAGGGAGGGGGAUGGGCAGGGAGAGAAGUGUGGUAGUCGCAGUAGGUCUGAUACUUUCCGGAUCAAGAUCAGAGGUUCUGCCCUCCGUGUUCACAGCGGACCUUGAUUUAAUGUCAUACAAUUAAGGCACGCGGUGAAUGCCAAGAGCGGAGCCUACGGCUGCACUUGAAGGACACCAAAGCGUCCCAGGGUCAGAAAGGGGAAAAGGCAAUUGCAGGGAAUUUAGAAGGUGGUAGGAUGAACCCAUCCCUUGCCGCAUAAAUGCCCCCCACCCCCACCCCGGACUGAUUCUAGAAGCAACCUGGUGGGAAAAUCUCCUACUCUUCCGUUAGAGCCGCGGAAAUCCGCCGGAAAAUCUCUGAAGGGGAUUUUAGGAAAGCUUCAUUGACAGCUGUCAGGAGAGCAGUAGUUUCCGUCUGUGCAAAUAUUCUAAAGAGUUAAACCAUUUAGAAAGCACUGGUUCUUUUAAGAGCAGGUAGUGUGAUUGUCUGCAGUCCUAGGCCAAGCUGGGAAAA